UCUCCCUUAUGAAACUGAUCAACAAACUCAGCACUCUGGGCUUGAGUACCACACACUCCAACUGGAUAUUGGACUUCCUCACAAACAGACCCCAGACAAUUUGGAUUGGCAGUCACACCUCCUCCAAUCUAGUGCUCAACACCGGAGCCCCCCCCCCUUCCUGGGCUGUGUGCUCAGCUCCCUCUUGUUCACGCUGUACACCCACGUCUGCAUCCCUUGACAUGGAGAAAACUCUGUUAUCUCCAUGUUUUGCUGACCAUCAUUGUCCAGAUUUCAAACUACGAUGAGAUGUUAUACAGUGUCAUGACUCCUGCAUCUGACACCUGAGUUUGAGACUGAGUGUGUUUUGAUUUGUUUUUUCCCUUUGGGUGAGUGAGGCGUGCUUAGUGUGUUUUUUGUUUGGUCCGUUUUUCUCUCUCCCCUCCUCUCAGUUAUUGAGUCCUAGGUGCGUCUGGCUUCCUGGGUUGGCACAAGCUGCACCUGCUGGCAAUCACACACCUGUUCCUGAUCAGCCAUCCCCACCUCUUCUUAAGGAGUGGCCAGACAUCCGUCCCUUGCCGGAUUGUUAAGUCGUGUGCCAUUGUCCGUUCUACCUGCUCAGCCUGCCUACCAGUUCCUAACCCCCGGAGCCGCUCAUGGAUCCAACCCUUCCAGCCAGCCACGCCAGCCUCAGUCCUCACUCCCCUACUGCUUAGAAGGAAACUCCCUGUGACCUCACCCAGCCUGAGUUUACACCCACUCUACCUUCGUCAAUAAACUGUUCAAACAA